GGUCAAGUGACCAAGCGUGCACGGUGGAUGCCUUGGCAGUCAGAGGCGAUGAAGGACGUGGUAAUCUGCGAUAAGGUUCGGGGAGUUGAUAAACAAACUUUGAUCCGAACAUUUCCGAAUGGGGAAACCCACCCGCUUGCGGGUAUCAUUAAGUGAAUACAUAGCUUAAUGAGGCGAACUCGGGGAACUGAAACAUCUAAGUACCCGAAGGAAAAGAAAUCAACCGAGAUUCCCUAAGUAGCGGCGAGCGAAAGGGGAUUAGCCCUUAAGUUGAUUUGGUGUUAGUAGAACAAGCUGGAAAGCUUGGCCGUAGAGAGUGAAAGCCUCGUAUACGAAAACACCUUUUCAAUGAAAACGAGUAGGACGGGACACGUGGUAUCCUGUCUGAACAUGGGGGGACCAUCCUCCAAGGCUAAAUACUCCUGACUGACCGAUAGUGUACCAGUACCGUGAGGGAAAGGCGAAAAGAACCCCGGCGAGGGGAGUGAAAUAGAACCUGAAACCGUGUACGUACAAGCAGUGGGAGCGGACUUAGUUCCGUGACUGCGUACCUUU
rnacentral:rRNA from 1 species